rnacentral:rRNA from 1 species
CCUUUUUUAAAAAAAAUUUCCCUUUGGCCCCCCCCCCCCGAAUAAGAGGUCUCGCCUGCCCUGUGACCAUGAGUUUAACGGCCGCGGUAUUUUGACCGUGCAAAGGUAGCGCAAUCACUUGUCUUUUAAAUGAAGACCUGUAUGAAUGGCAUAACGAGGGCUUAACUGUCUCCCUUUUCCAGUCAAUGAAAUUGAUCUCCCCGUGCAGAAGCGGGGAUUAAAACAUAAGACGAGAAGACCCUAUGGAGCUUUAGACAAAGAGCAGACCAUGUUAAACACACCUAAAUAAAGGACAAAACCAAUUGGCCCCUGCCCUUAUGUCUUUGGUUGGGGCGACCGCGGGGAAACAAAAAACCCCCAUGUGGACUGAAGACAUUCCUCUUCACAACCAAGAGCCACAGCUCUAAGCAACAGAACAUCUGACCAACAAGAUCCGGCACUAAGCCGAUCAACAAACCGAGUUACCCUAGGGAUAACAGCGCACCUCUUUAAAAAAAAAAAAUACGUUUU